rnacentral:rRNA from 1 species
GACGAACGCUGGCGGCGUGCCUAAUACAUGCAAGUAGAACGCUGAAGGAGGAGCUUGCUUCUCUGGAUGAGUUGCGAACGGGUGAGUAACGCGUAGGUAACCUGCCUGGUAGCGGGGGAUAACUAUUGGAAACGAUAGCUAAUACUGCAUAAGAGUAGCUGUUGCAUGACAUUUACUUAAAAGGUGCAAUUGCUUCACUACCAGAUGGACCUGCGUUGUAUUAGCUAGUUGGUGAGGUAACGGCUCACCAAGGCAACGAUACAUAGCCGACCUGAGAGGGUGAGCGGCCACACUGAGACUGAGACACGGCACAGACGCCUACAGGAAGCAGCAGUAGGGAAUCGGCGGCAAGGGACGGAAGUCUGACCGAGCAACGCCGCGUGAGUGAAGAAGGUUUUCGGAUCGUAAAGCUCUGUUGUAAGAGAAGAACGAGUGUGAGAGUGGAAAGUUCACACUGUGACGGUAUCUGACCAGAAAGGGACGGCUAACUACGUG